GCUUCAGCACCUUGCGGCUCGGCUCGCUCGAAACAAAGAAAAAUAAAGAAAAAAAAAACGAUUUCCAAAAUCCAAAUUAAACCUCGCACACACAAAAAAAAAAUCCUUUUCUAAACGAUUGCCCUCUUCUCCCCCCAAAAAAAAAUUACUCGAUCAAAAAAAUUUAAUCUCUUAUGUAUUAUUUUAAUCCCUUAUUUACUUAGUUUAUU
rnacentral:lncRNA from 1 species